UCUCAACCAAUCCUAAUUUUU
ensembl:piRNA 21ur-3172 ncRNA